AUUGAACGCUGGCGGCAGGCCUAACACAUGCAAGUCGAACGAGUGGCGGACGGGUGAGUAAUGUAUGGGGACCUGCCUGAUGGAGGGGGAUAACUACUGGAAACGGUGGCUAAUACCGCAUACCAUCAGAUGUGCCCAUAUGGGAUUAGCUUGUUGGUGGGGUAACGGCUCACAAGGGCGACGAUCCCUAGCUGGUCUGAGAGGAUGACCAGCCACACUGGAACUGAGACACGGCCCAGACUCCUACGGGAGGCAGCAGUGGGGAAUAUUGCACAAUGGGCGCAAGCCUGAUGCAGCCAUGCCGCGUGUGUGAAGAAGGCCUUCGGGUUGUAAAGUACUUUCAGCGGGGAGGCGUUACCCGCAGAAGAAGCACCGGCUAACUCCGUGCCAGCAGCCGCGGUAAUUC
rnacentral:rRNA from 1 species